GACGAACGCUGGCGGCGUGCUUAACACAUGCAAGUCGAGCGGUAAGGCCCUUUCGGGGGUACACGAGCGGCGAACGGGUGAGUAACACGUGGGUGACCUGCCCUCAGCUCUGGGAUAAGCCUGGGAAACCGGGUCUAAUACUGGAUAUGACUCCAUGACGCAUGUUGUGGGGUGGAAAGCCUUGUGCGGCUGAGGAUGGGCCCGCGGCCUAUCAGCUUGUUGGUGGGGUGANGGCCCACCAAGGCGACGAUGGGUAGCCGGCCGAGAGGGUGUCCGGCCACACUGGGACUGAGAUACGGCCCAGACUCCUACGGGAGGCAGCAGUGAGGAAUAUU
rnacentral:rRNA from 1 species